rnacentral:rRNA from 1 species
UGGGGAAUAUUGCACAAUGGAGGGAACUCUGAUGCAGCAACGCCGCGUGAAGGAAGAAGGUUUUCGGAUCGUAAACUUCUAUCAACAGGGAGGAAAAAAAUGACGGUACCUGAAUAAGAAGCCCCGGCUAACUACGUGCCAGCAGCCGCGGUAAUACGUAGGGGGCAAGCGUUAUUCGGAAUCACUGGGCGUAAAGAGUGUGUAGGCGGUUAAAUAAGUUAGUUAUGAAAUCCCCGAGCUUAACUCAGGAACUAUAAUUAAAACUAUUUUACUAGAGUAUAGUAGGCGAUGGCGGAAUUCUUAGUGUAGGGGUGAAAUCCGUAGAUAUUAAGAGGAACACCGGUGGUGAAGACGGCUAUCUUGACUAUAACUGACACUGAGGCUCGAAAGCUAGGGGAGCGAACG